AAGGGCGCGACACACGGCUCUGGCCACAGUUGUCAACGCUGUUGAGCCACUUAUUCUUGUCGCCACUCACGCCUGGCGCCUGCACCGCGGGGUGCCGAGCGGGGUCGAGGCGGCGCCCCCGGGCGGGAGGCCCGGGGCUACCGGUGCGAGCCCGCCGCGCCGCCUGCCGGGAGCGAAAUGGCGGCGAAGGGAAGGCGCCUUCCCGAGGGGAGCCGGCAGCCACUCGGGUCCUUCGCCAGGACCACGUCUUUGAGGCCAGUCUCAACUCUCCUCUUCUGGAAUCCACGGGGACAGAACCCAGACGCCUGAGGUGGCACUUGCGGCCCCCACCGCCUCGGUUAUAAAGCCCAACGGCCGCGCUCAGACCCGUCCCCGGGUGCGGCCCCGCCCUGAGGACGCCGGCUGAGGCCGCUGCGGGCGCUCCCUGCGCUCCCUCAUCCGCGCGUCAGCGUCUCAGCCCUCAGGUGCACAUUACCAAACGACGGGCACGGACGGUGACGAGGCGGACGUGGUCUGAGUCUGGAAGGCAGACUGAUAAGCCCAAUACUCCAACUCGCCGGGGAGGGUGCCGUGAAUUGGAAAGCUAGGACGCGCCACAGCCUGGGAGGACCAAGGCAGGUGUCCCACGGAAACCUCUGACUGCCAUGGGAAGGAAAGAGCAAAGGAGCGACUCUCUCCUUUCCUGGCUUUGAUGAAAGCUGCUACACUGGAAAGGCCCACGUGUUGAGGAACUGAGGGAAACCUCCAGACAAUUCCACCCAAUAGUCAGCAAGGAAUUGAGGACCUCAGUCUAAUAGGCCUUGAGGAACUGAAUCCUGCCAACAGCACAUAAGUGAGUGUGGAAGUGUAUCCUCCAUUUGAGACUUCAAAAGAGACCUCAGCCCUAGCUGACACUUUGAUUGCAGCCCUGUGAGAGACCCUGAAGCAGAGAACCCAGCUAGGCCUCACCUGGACUUCUGACCCACAAAAACUAGCUUCUCAGCCUUGAACGAGGAAAGCUUUCUCUGCUGGAGCCUGGUCUCCUCUCCGCCUAUCAACAGGAAGUUGAAGAGAAGUUGUGUUGUCCUGCCCAAGAUAACCACGUAUGUUCUCGCAGAUGCUUCUUGGGUCACACACAGGGUGAACAGAGUCACAACAUAUUAAGGUGGUAACAGCCCAUUCCCUCUGCAGAAGCAUAAAUUUCCUACAUUCAAACCCAAAUGGUGAGCCUGAGUGUACUGAGUGCUUAGAAUUUUUUAAAGAGAAUUUUAUUGAAGUAUAUCAUACAUGCAAAAACGAGCAGAAGCUAAAAGGGUGCAGUGCAAUGAAUUUCCACAAACUGAACGUCCCCAUAUACCACCACCCACAUCAAGAGAGAGCACAGCAGCGAAACCCCUCACUCACAUCCUCCCUCCCUGUCAUUACACCCCACAAGAGUAACCUCGACUCUGACUUCUAACCAUAUUUUGGGGAAAACUAAAAUUGUAUAUAAGUGGAAUUAUAAUAUUUUUACUCUUUUGUCUUGGGCUUCCCAUGUUGUGUGUAUAGUUUGUUCAAUUCCAUUUAUGCUUAAUGUUCCAUUGAAUGAAUAGACAACAACUGAGUAAACCAUUCUUCUAUUAGGGCAACUUGGAUAGUUUCCAAUUUGAGGCUAUGAGUAUUUCAGUGCUACUAUGAAUACUCUACUAUAUAUCUCAUGGUGAGCAUAAGCUCAUAUUUCUCUUAGUUGUUUACUAGGAGAAUUGUUGGAUCAAAGGCAAAUAUAUGUUGUUUUAAUAGGUCCUGUAAAAGAGUUUUCCAGUGUUGUACAUUAUACCUUCCCUACAAGUAGUAUAAGGAAAGUUCCAAUUGCUCCACAUCUUCACCAAAAUUUGGUAUUUUCUAUCUAUUUAAUUUUAGCCAUCCUCUGUGUAUGUGUGCCUAUUUAGUGUUUAUGACACAUUUCUUUUUUAAACUCAAUUUUGUUGAGGUAUGAUUACAUAUGAGAAAUGACAUCCAUUUAAAAUAUACAAGAUGAUGAGCUUUGAAAGAUGGAUACACCAAUAAAACCACUGCCACGAUCAACACCCAGGAUAGUUCAAAUCCCAAAAGUCUUCUCAUGGCCCGUCUGCACUUUCUGGGAGAGGCUCUGGAAGAGGAAUGGGCUUCCCUUCCUGGUUCUGGGGCGACCCACUCGCCAGUCUCCAGCAGAGCACGUCUCUGAGAGACUUCGCUGCUGGGCUGUGCAGUUUCUCCCGCGGUGGCCUCCUGCAGGACACAAUGUUUCCAGGCUCUUGACAAGGGUAGCAUUGGCAGGAGCCCCAGAUAGUGUAGCAUUAAUUAUAUUUAAUGUUAGUUGAUUUAAACUUACUGUGCAAUGCAAGCUUAGAUUUUACUAAAAGUUUCUUUCAGAAUUGGUCUUGCUAGAGUUUUAUGGCUAUUACCUCUAUUAUAUAAAUGAAUUUCAUGGACUAUAAGUUUCUCAGUGACAAAUUCUUGACUUAUUCAGAACUUUUCCCUAUGAGUUUUUAAUCAGAAAAACAAAAAAACAAACUCUGCCUCCAAAUAGUCUGAGGACUCCCUCCCUCUGCCAAAUGUUAGUAAUAACGCACACGUGGCACGUCCUUGAUUCUUCCUAUACUUUAGGUUGAGGCUUCCAGGUUUAGAAAUGAAACAGACUCUGGGUGAAUUUCAUCUCUGGGUCUUCUCAUCUGUGUUACAGUAAGCAAGCCCCUCAGUCUCUCUGAGCU